AUUACUUUGGCAGAUUAGUGCUUUAAAUUUAGAAUUUAAAUAAAUAUUAUUUAAUUAAUAUAGGUAAUA
rnacentral:tRNA from 1 species